GCCUAGCCCCGAUAGUAGAGGAAAUCCUUUUAUAUUUUUUCUUUAAAAAUAUAAAAGAUUGUAACGAAUAGCGGGAACCAGC
rnacentral:sRNA from 1 species